rnacentral:rRNA from 1 species
CCCUUAGAUGUUCUGGGCCGCACGCGCGCUACAAUGAUGAAUUCAACGAGUUUAUAACCUUGGUUGAAAAGCCCGGGUAAUCUUUUGAACUUUCGUCGUGAUGGGGCUAGACCCUUGCAAUUAUUGGUCUCCAACGAGGAAUUCCUAGUAAACGCAAGUCAUCAGCUUGCAUUGAUUACGUCCCUGCCCUUUGUACACACCGCCCGUCGCACCUACCGAUUGAAUGGUCCGGUGAAAUCUUCGGAUUGAGACUUUGAUUUGUUUACUCAAAACGCUGUUUCAAGAAGUUGAUUAAACCUUACCAUUUAGAGGAAGGUGAAGUCGUAACA